rnacentral:rRNA from 1 species
UACGUAGGGUGCAAGCGUUAAUCGGAAUCACUGGGCGUAAAGGGCGCGUAGGUGGUCUGAUAAGGGUGUGGUGAAAGCCCGGGGCUCAACCCCGGGUCGGCCGUGCCGACUGUUGGACUAGAGUGCUGUAGGGGCAGGCGGAAUUCCGGGUGUAGCGGUGGAAUGCGUAGAGAUCCGGAGGAAGACCGGUGGCGAAGGCGGCCUGCUGGGCAGUUACUGACACUGAGGCGCGACAGCGUGGGGAGCAAACAGG